rnacentral:rRNA from 1 species
GACGGACGCUGGCGACGUGCCUAAUACAUGCAAGUCGAGCGCAGGAAAUCAUCCGAACCCUUCGGGGGGACGUUGAUGGAAUGAGCGGCGGACGGGUGAGUAACACGUAAAGAACCUGCCCUCAGGUCUGGGAUAACCACGAGAAAUCGGGGCUAAUACCGGAUGGGUCAUCGGACCGCAUGGUCCGAGGAUGAAAGGCGCUUCGGCGUCGCCUGGGGAUGGCUUUGCGGUGCAUUAGCUAGUUGGUGGGGUAAUGGCCCCCCAAGGGGACGAUGCAUAGCCGACCUGAGAGGGUGAUCGGCCACACUGGGACUGAGACACGGCCCAGACUCCUACGGGAGGCAGCAGUAGGGAAUCUUCCACAAUGGACGAAAGUCUGAUGGAGCAACGCCGCGUGAACGAUGAAGGCCUUCGGGUCGUAAAGUUCUGUUGUAAGGGAAGAACAAGUGCCGCAGGCAAUGGCGGCACCUUGACGGUACCUUGCGAGAAAGCCACGGCUAACUACGUGCCAGCCGCCGCAGUAA